rnacentral:rRNA from 1 species
AGGGGAGAAUUAAUAAAUAUAUAAAUAUAAAAAAAAUUUUUAAUAUAAAAUAAUUAAUGGGGGUUAAAGUAUUUUAUAGAAAAAAAAUUGAAAAAUUUAUAGUUAAGUAGUAUUGUGAAAGAAAUUUGAAAAAUAAUGAAAUAAGAAUUAAUUUAAAAGUAAAUUUAAUUUAUUGUAUCUUGUGUAUCAGAGUUUAUUAAAAAAUAAUUUUUUAAAAAAUUAUUUCGAAUUUAAAAGAGUUAAUUAAUUAAAAAAGUUAAUAUUAUAUAAUUAUUUUAAAUAGUUAAUUAGAAAUGAAAAGUUAAUCGUUUUUAAAUAUAUCUAAUUUUUUAGGAAAAAAAUUUAAUUUUGAAUUAAUUUUUUUUUAUUUAUUUAUUAAUUAAUAAAUAAAAAUUUUAAUUUAAUAUUUUAGGGGAUAAGCUUUAAAUUAAAAUAUUAUAAUUAAAAAUAAAUUUAAAUUGAAAAUUUUAAAAUUUAUAUUUUUUAUAAAUUAUAGUUUAUUAUAAAUAAUUUCAUUUAAUUAAAAUUUAAUUUAUAAUUUAAUUUUUUACAAAAAAAAUAAUUUUUAAUAAUAAUAAAUUAGAAAUAAUGAUAAAAUUAGUAUAUAAUUUUAAAAGUUUAUAUAAAUUAUUAAAAUUAAUAAAAAGGAAUUCGGCAAAAAUUUAUAUUCACUUGUUUAUCAAAAACAUGUCUUUUUGAAAAUAAUUUAAAGUCUAAUCUGCCCACUGAAUUAAAAUUUAAAGGGCUGCAGUAUAUUGACUGUACAAAGGUAGCAUAGUCAUUAGUCUUUUAAUUGGAGACUUGUAUGAAUGAUUUGAUGAAAUAUAAACUGUCUCUUUAUUAAUAAUAGAAUUUAAUUUUUUAGUUAAAAAGCUAAAAUUUUUAUAAAAGACGAGAAGACCCUAUAGAGUUUAAUUUUUUAAUUUUUGUAAAUAUUAUAUAAAAAUUAUAAUUUAUAAAAAUUAAAAAAUUUUGUUGGGGUGAUAGAAAAAUUUAAAAAACUUUUUUUAAAAAAUUAACAUUAAUUUAUGAAUUUUUGAUCCAUAAUUUAUGAUUAAAAGAUUAAAUUACCUUAGGGAUAACAGCGUAAUUUUUUUUUUUAGUUCAAAUAAAAAAAAAAGUUUGCGACCUCGAUGUUGGAUUAAGAUAAAAUUUAAAUGCAAAAGUUUAAAAUUUUGAUCUGUUCGAUCAUUAAAAUCUUACAUGAUCUGAGUUCAAACCGGUGUGAGCCAGGUUGGUUUCUAUCUUUAUAUUUAUAUAAUAGUUUAGUACGAAAGGAUCAAUUAUUAUAAAUAAUUUAAUUAUUAAGAAUAUUAUAAAAUAUUUUUU